GUCGUGUCCAGUCUUCGUGACCCCAUGGACUGCAGCCCACCAGGCUCCUCCAUCCAUGGGAUUUUCCAGGCAAGAGUACUGGAGUGGGGUGCCAUCACCUUCUCCGCUGGCAACAGCAGUGGGGAAUGAAUUAAAGAGUGGUAAACCUGAUGCUAAAGAGGCCUGAUAAAUGGUUACUGAUGAUUCCAGCAAGAAGUAAGAAGGGUUUACACCUGGGCAACAGCGGUGGGCAGUGGAUUAGCAGAUCAGAUGAAGAAGAAAGAUCUCGAAGUUACAACAGUUCGUCUACAAUUUUAUAAACACUGAUGCACUUGGGCCGCCUGAAGUGUGUAGUGCUGUUUGUCCUAAACUAAUGGCCCCCAUCUUCUAUGGGGAGCAAUAACCAUGCGUGCUGGGAAAACUAUUUCUAGGUGCAUCCUUGAGGGUGUUUCUGAAAGAGAUUAGCAUCUGAAUUGGCAGACCAUAGCCUCAUCAGCGCAGCUGGGCAUCAUCAAUUCUCUUAAGGACCUGAAAAAGACCAAAAGGUGGAGGAGGGGUGAGUUCACUCUCUGCCUGAGCCCAGAUAUUUCUCUCUUCCCACUUUUGGAGGUCAGUGCUCCUGGUUCUCAGGCCUUCAGACUUGGAUUGAUCUCCACCACUGGCUUCCCUUGUCUUCCAGAUGGCAAGCUAUGGGACUCCUUGCCUCCAUAAUCACGCCAGCUGAGUCACCACAGAGGAGAGGAAAUGAUAGAGAAGUUCCAAAUUCCACAGAAGUGGGUCAGUGAAGAGCUCCUGGAAGCCCAUGCUCGCCCUGGUGUGUGCAAAUCCUGAGUGACCACCCAGCCUUUAGUCCUGACUGCUAGGUUGUCCUACCUCAUCUGCGAGGCAGGAGGUGACCUCAUGUGUCCUCGACUCAAGCAAGACCUAGUCACGUGAGGCUACAACUUGUAAUUCUUCCUGGAAGCUUCCAGAAACAGAAGACUGUUCUUAUUCUAAAAUCCUAACAGAUUGAAGAGGAUCGUCUCCUGGUCACACUGACAGUCCUCCCAGUAAAGGGAUUUUUACUGAAGCACCAUUGUUCUCUGCCGCAUGUUCAAACAGAUAAUUCCCUAGAAAGACAAUUUCUUCUCUGGGCUAUUGCAAACUGCCUUUCUGCUCACCCUUCCUCAUGAUCAAAUUAACCCUCACUCCCAUGGAGAGAACCUACUGCUACACCAGGGCAGAGACUACUAGCUGACUACCCAACAUCCAUUCCCCUCCUUCACUAGUGACAACUCUGAUCUUAUCUUGGGCUGCAUUGGGCCCAGCAAAAAAUGACAUUUCCCAACUUUCCUUGCAGAUUGGGCUACCAAUGUGACUAAGAUCUGGCCAAUGAGAGGAAGCAUAUAUGCAUCCCCAAAGAAAACUCAUUAAAAGGACUUGAUUCAAUUGAAAGGUUUUUUGCAAAUCCUCCCCUUCAUCGUUCUUGUUCCAUUGGAAGAGGUGCCGGGAGCCAGCAUGAGGAAUUCCGCACGUGGCAAAGGUCAUGAGGAAGGAG